rnacentral:rRNA from 1 species
AUUGAACGCUGGCGGCAUGCCUUACACAUGCAAGUCGAACGGCAGCACGGGUGCUUGCACCUGGUGGCGAGUGGCGAACGGGUGAGUAAUACAUCGGAACAUGUCCUGUAGUGGGGGAUAGCCCGGCGAAAGCCGGAUUAAUACCGCAUACGAUCUACGGAUGAAAGCGGGGGACCUUCGGGCCUCGCGCUAUAGGGUUGGCCGAUGGCUGAUUAGCUAGUUGGUGGGGUAAAGGCCUACCAAGGCGACGAUCAGUAGCUGGUCUGAGAGGACGACCAGCCACACUGUGACCGAGAACCCGCCCCGACUCCUACGGGAAGCAGCAGUUGGGAAUUUUGGACAAAGGGCGAAAGCCUGAUCCAGCAAUGCCGCGUGUGUGAAGAAGGCCUUCGGGGUUUAAAGCACUUUUGUCCCGAAAGAAAUCCUUGGCCCUAAUACGGUCGGGGGAUGACGGUACCGGAAGAAUAAGCACCGGCUAACUACGUG